rnacentral:rRNA from 1 species
UAAAAUUUAAAUUAAAAAUACUAAAAUAGUAUUUAAUUAUUUAUUGAAACUUAAAUAUUUUGGCGGUAUUUUAGUUUAUUUAGAGGAAUCUGUUUAUUAAUUGAUAAUCCACGAAUAAAUUUACUUAAUUUAUUAUUUUGUAUAUCAUUGUUAGAAAAAUAUUUUUUAAUGAUAAUAAUAUUUUAAAAUUAUGAAAAAAAAAUCAAAUCAAAUCAAGAUGCAGAGUAUAAUUAAGAAUAUAAUGGAUUACAAUAAAUUUAUUUAUAUGAACUUUGAUUUGUAAUAAUUAAAUAAAGGUGGAUUUAAAUGUAAUUU